rnacentral:rRNA from 1 species
GAUGAACGCUGGCGGCGUGCCUAAUACAUGCAAGUCGAGCGCCUGCACGGUGCAUUUCUUUCGGGGACCGAGACAGGUCCUCACAAAUUUUCUUUAGAAAAUUUGUGAGUUACAGAACGAAGGAUGAAGGUCUGGAAAGACCGAAAUCCUUCCAAAAACAAUGUCUUGUCAUCGGAAUAAAGAAAUGUGACGUGCAGGAGCGGCGGACGGCUGAGUAACGCGUAGGAACGUACCCCAAAGNGAGGGAUAAGCACCGGAAACGGUGUCUAAUACCGCAUGUGAUCUUCGGAUUAAAGCUUUAUGCGCUUUGGGAGCGGCCUGCGUAUGAUUAGUUAGUUGGUGAGGUAAUGGCUUACCAAGACGAUGAUCAUUAGCUGGUCUGAGAGGAUGAUCAGCCAGAC